CCUACGGGAGGCAGCAGUGGGGAAUCUURGACAAUGGGCGCAAGCCUGAUCCAGCCAUGCCGCGUGAGUGAUGAAGGCCCUAGGGUCGUAAAGCUCUUUCACCAGGGAUGAUAAUGACAGUACCUGGUAAAGAAACCCCGGCUAACUCCGUGCCAGCAGCCGCGGUAAUACGGAGGGGGUUAGCGUUGUUCGGAAUUACUGGGCGUAAAGCGUACGUAGGCGGAUUAGAAAGUUAGGGGUGAAAUCCCAGGGCUCAACCCCGGAACUGCCUCUAAAACUCCUAGUCUAGAGUUCGAGAGAGGUGAGUGGAAUUCCAAGUGUAGAGGUGAAAUUCGUAGAUAUUCGGAGGAACACCAGUGGCGAAGGCGGCUCACUGGCUCGAUACUGACGCUGAGGURCGAAAGUGUGGGG
rnacentral:rRNA from 1 species